rnacentral:rRNA from 1 species
CCUACGGGAGGCAGCAGUGAGGAAUAUUCGUCAAUGGGCGCGAGCCUGAACCAGCCAAGUCGCGUGAGGGAAGACGGUCCUAUGGACUGUAAACCUCGUUGGUCGGGGAGCAAAAGACGCCACGCGUGGCGUUCCGAGAGUACCCGAAGAAAAAGCAUCGGCUAACUCCGUGCCAGCAGCCGCGGUAAUACUGGGGAUGCGAGCGUUAUCCGGAUGUAUUGGGUUUAAAGGGUGCGCAGGCGGAAGAUCAAGUCAGCGGUAAAAUUGAGAGGCUCAACCUCGUCGAGCCGUUGAAACUGGUUGUCUUGAGUGAGCGAGAAGUAUGCGGAAUGCGUGGUGUAGCGGUGAAAUGCAUAGAUAUAACGCAGAACUCCGAUUGCGAAGGCAGCAUACCGGCGCGCAACUGACGCUCAUGCACGAAAGUGUGGGUAGCGAACAGGAUUAGAUACCCGAGUAGUC